AGGAUAAACGCUGGCGGCGUGCCUAACACAUGCAAGUCGAACGCGCUUUCGGGCUUCGGUGCGAGAGCGAGUGGCGGACGGGUGAGUAACACAUGGGUACCUACCUUGGAGUGAGGGAUACCGGCGAGAAAUCGCCGACAAUACCGCAUAGGCUUCUUCACAAGGGAAGCAAAGUGACGCGAGUCACGCUUUGAGAUGGGCCUGUGGCCGAUUAGCUAGUUGGGGGGGUAACGGCUUCCCAAGGCGACGAUCGGUAGCUGGUCUGAGAGGACGAUCAGCCACACUGGGAUCGAGAACGGCCCAGACUCCUACGGGGGGCAGCAGUGAGGAAUUUUCCGCAAUGGAGGCAACUCUGACGGAGCAACGCCGCGUGCAGGAGGAAGGUUUUCGGAUCGUAAACUGCUUUUCGUCGGGGAAGAGAACGGACGGUACCCGAGGAAUCGAGCCCCGGCUAACUACGCGCCAGCAGCCGC
rnacentral:rRNA from 1 species